rnacentral:rRNA from 1 species
CAAUAAGCGUAUACUAAAAGUUAGUUGCAGUUAAAAAAGCUCGUAGUUGAAUUUUCUGGUCGUGAAACGUGGUCCGUUCCCGCAAGGGAAUGUGUACUGUCGAUUCAUGUCCAUCCUCGGAGUUAGUGUGUAUUACUUUAAUCGGUCGUGCACAUGUCCUCCGUCAUUUACUUGUGAGACAAAAUAGAGUGUUCAAAGCAGGCUUAUGCCGUUGAAUAUAUUAGCAUGGAAUAAUAAGAUAUGACUUUGGUUCUAUUUUUGUUGGUUUGCACUCCAAAGUAAUGAUUAAUAGGGAUAGGUUGGGGGUAUUCGUAUUCAAGUGUCAGAGGUGAAAUUCUUGGAUUUACUGGAAGACGAACUACUGCGAAAGCAUUUACCAAGGAUGUUUUCAUUAAUCAAGAACGAAAGUUAGGGGAUCGAAGAUGAUCAGAUACCAU